rnacentral:rRNA from 1 species
AGGGAAUCUUCCGCAAUGGACGAAAGUCUGACGGAGCAACGCCGCGUGAGUGAUGAAGGUUUUCGGAUCGUAAAGCUCUGUUGCCAGGGAAGAACGUCUUCUGGAGUAACUGCCAGGAGAGUGACGGUACCUGAGAAGAAAGCCCCGGCUAACUACGUGCCAGCAGCCGCGGUAAUACGUAGGGGGCAAGCGUUGUCCGGAAUUAUUGGGCGUAAAGCGCGCGCAGGCGGCUGUUUAAGUCUGGUGGUUAAUCCUGGGGCUCAACCCCGGGUCGCAUUGGAAACUGGAUGGCUUGAGUGCAGAAGAGGAGAGUGGAAUUCCACGUGUAGCGGUGAAAUGCGUAGAGAUGUGGAGGAACACCAGUGGCGAAGGCGACUCUCUGGGCUGUAACUGACGCUGAGGCGCGAAAGCGUGGGGAGCAAAC